rnacentral:lncRNA from 1 species
UCAAAAUUUAAAAAUAAUAAAAAAAAGAGAGAAUGAAAAAGAAUAUUUUUUUUACUUCUUUUACAUAUUUGAGGAUCUCCUUUUUUUUAUAUAUAUAUAGAGGAGUAGUCAAAUGUUACUUGCGAAUGCGAUAACAGAAUCGGAAAAUCAACGUUUACUGAUCUGAAGGUCAUGGGCAUUAGUUUCAUAUAGUAUUCAUGGGCGCAUUAUCUAAAAUGUCGGUUAUGCACAUUAUCUGUAGGUGUUAGAUGAGGUAAUCCACCUACAUAGGCAAAAUUAGAGAGAAACUAUCCCGAUACUUUAAGAGGUCUGGUUAGACUAAACCAUUUGUCAAGUGGGUCGAUGGUCGAUGACAUUAUGAGGUAGAUCUUUGUAAUGGU